rnacentral:rRNA from 1 species
CGAUGGAUUCCGCCGACUCCUGGAUAUAUGAAGUUAAAUGUUGAUGCGGCGGUGACAAAGUCAACUAAUAAGGGCUCGGUUGGGGUGGUAUGCCGUAAUGAGCAGGGGAAGUUCAGAGGUGCGUCUUCUGUGGUUUUUGAAGGAAUGAUCGAUCCUGAAACUCUAGAAACACUCGCGUGCCGCGAGGCGAUUGCCCUGAGCGAAGACCUAGGCUUUGAGACCGUGCAAAUAUCAUCUGACUGUCUGAGAGUCAUCCGGGAGCUCGAGUUGGAGACAAAUCUGGGGCGCAUUGCAUGGUUCUACAUGACAUCAAAGAUAGAAGCAAUCUAUUUCGAUCUUGCAUUUUCAGCUUUGAACAGCCCAACAACAAUGGGGAAGCUCACAGGCUAG